ensembl:snRNA U6 U6 spliceosomal RNA
GUGCUCAUUUUGGCAGCACAUACACUAAAAAAUUGGAACAAUACAAAAAGAUUAGCGUGGCCUCUGUACAAGGAUGGCAUGCAAAUUUAUGAAGCAUUCCAUAUGUAA